rnacentral:rRNA from 1 species
AGAGUUUGAUCCUGGCUCAGAUUGAACGCUGGCGGCAUGCCUUACACAUGCAAGUCGAACGGCAGCACGAGAGCUUGCUCUUGGUGGCGAGUGGCGAACGGGUGAGUAAUAUAUCGGAACGUACCCUAGAGUGGGGAUAACGUAGCGAAAGUUACGCUAAUACCGCAUACGAUCUACGGAUGAAAGUGGGGGAUCGCAAGACCUCAUGCUCAUGGAGCGGCCGAUAUCUGAUUAGCUAGUUGGUGGGGUAAAAGCUCACCAAGGCGACGAUCAGUAGCUGGUCUGAGAGGACGACCAGCCACACUGGAACUGAGACACGGUCCAGACUCCUACGGGAGGCAGCAGUGGGGAAUUUUGGACAAUGGGCGCAAGCCUGAUCCAGCAAUGCCGCGUGAGUGAAGAAGGCCUUCGGGUUGUAAAGCUCUUUUGUCAGGGAAGAAACGGUGGACUCUAAUACAGAUCACUAAUGACGGUACCUGAAGAAUAAGCACCGGCUAACUACGUGCCAGCAGCCGCGGUAAUACGUAGGGUGCAAGCGUUAAUCGGAAUUACUGGGCGUAAAGCGUGCGCAGGCGGUUGUGCAAGACAGAUGUGAAAUCCCCGGGCUCAACCUGGGAAUUGCAUUUGUGACUGCACGGCUAGAGUGUGUCAGAGGGGGGUAGAAUUCCACGUGUAGCAGUGAAAUGCGUAGAGAUGUGGAGGAAUACCGAUGGCGAAGGCAGCCCCCUGGGAUAACACUGACGCUCAUGCACGAAAGCGUGGGGAGCAAACAGGAUUAGAUACCCUGGUAGUCCACGCCCUAAACGAUGUCUACUAGUUGUCGGGUCUUAAUUGACUUGGUAACGCAGCUAACGCGUGAAGUAGACCGCCUGGGGAGUACGGUCGCAAGAUUAAAACUCAAAGGAAUUGACGGGGACCCGCACAAGCGGUGGAUGAUGUGGAUUAAUUCGAUGCAACGCGAAAAACCUUACCUACCCUUGACAUGUCUGGAAUCCUUGAGAGAUCAGGGAGUGCUCGAAAGAGAAUCAGAACACAGGUGCUGCAUGGCUGUCGUCAGCUCGUGUCGUGAGAUGUUGGGUUAAGUCCCGCAACGAGCGCAACCCUUGUCAUUAGUUGCUACGAAAGGGCACUCUAAUGAGACUGCCGGUGACAAACCGGAGGAAGGUGGGGAUGACGUCAAGUCCUCAUGGCCCUUAUGGGUAGGGCUUCACACGUCAUACAAUGGUACAUACAGAGGGCCGCCAACCCGCGAGGGGGAGCUAAUCCCAGAAAGUGUAUCGUAGUCCGGAUUGUAGUCUGCAACUCGACUACAUGAAGUUGGAAUCGCUAGUAAUCGCGGAUCAGCAUGUCGCGGUGAAUACGUUCCCGGGUCUUGUACACACCGCCCGUCACACCAUGGGAGCGGGUUUCACCAGAAGUGGGUAGCCUAACCGCAAGGAGGGCGCUCACCACGGUGGGAUUCGUGACUGGGGUGAAGUCGUAACAAGGUA